CACAAAGGCUGACUGUGAAGUAACUCAGGGUUCCAGAGCCCUUGCCACGUGCAGCAUGAGCUCGGCUUGCACAAGGUGAUGAACUUUCCAGAGCAAAACUGCAAGUGGAAGUUACCAAUAUCGGUCUUAGAGGGUUGCCAUUUUAAGUAGAUAAGAAAAACACACGAACACCUGAUAAGAACCCAGAUUUGCAAGCACAGAAACCUGCUGUGGAACUAUCUUUGUACACUAAGUCCUCUGAUGUCUACAAAAAGAAAAGAAAAGGCUCUGCAUUCCCGUCUGACAGAAAUCUUUCUACAAGUUGUAUUUGCCCACACAGAAUUGAGAAUCAUCCUGCUCACUAGUCUGUACAUGUGGACGAACUACUGUCUUCUCUGUCAAGACUCCUGGAACCUGCAGAUAGCCUUCCUCUCUGUCUGUAAAGGUCAGCAGCUUCGAGGUGAGGUGCCAUGUCCUUGAAUGGCUUGGGGCUAAGAACCCUGCCUAGGGAUGAUGAUGGAUGGACAGAUACAUAGACAUGGAAGAGUCAGGAUCACAUGCUGCUGCUGUUGCCAGUGCAGCAUGCUGAGGAGGCAGGCAGCCAAAGGGACAAAUCUUGGCUUCUUUGAAUGUUACCCUGUUUUUGAACAACGUAACCCAAAUU